UGUUUUCUGGCCAUCCUCAGAGGGUAUGAAGGACAACAAACCCGGCUGUGGAGUGAAAGAUGAGACCUGAGGCUGGAAUCCAGCUUGUGGCAGAUAAAUGCUGGAGAGGUGGGCUGGUCCCCACAAAACCCUCCAGACCACCUCUAAGCAGCAGCUGGCUUCACUUACAACCCCAGCUGAGAUGAAUGGCAUUCCAGCACUCGCCACCAGCCCACUGCUGCUUCUCCUUUUACAGCUGUUGCCUGAUUACAUCAAGAGGUUUAGCCUCUUGCUUUUGCUUUUGAUGUAAAUCCAGCCGGGAGGGUGCAUUGGGGUGGGAACUGAGGUUAUUUGCUCAAACCCCACCUUCCAAUGUGAAAGCCUAGUUGAAGGUUAGCAGUGGCAAGCGAUGCCUCUGUGACCUCUGCUUCCUCUGCCGUAAGAGUUUGCAUUGUAGAGUGAUGAAUACAUAAUUCAUUCCCACCCACCAGGGAAAUGCCCUGGUAGCACGGCACAGACAUCCGCAGCACAAUAUUGCAGGAAGAAAGGAGAUUGGAAAGCAGAAGAGCUGAGUCAUCCCCUGAGAAGACAUUUCCCACAGCAGAUGUUAUGCCAUGCGAUCCUGCUAUCUUUUGCAGUCAUUGCUGGAGGAGCUUCUGUGUCACUCUAAGACCUGAAUGAAGAUAACAUGGUCCCAUUCCUCCAGUCACAUCACUACAGCAAAGAUAAACAGUGUUUGCUGCAGAACAAGCGUCAGUAAAUCCUCUCUAUUUGAAAACAUCCCUGUCUGUACUGAGACCUUACCUUUGAAAGGCGAUAAUGUGAAAAACAUCCUGCUAGAUUUUGCAAUGAACAUCUAUUUACAUA